AGAUCGGAAGGGACAGAGGGCACGACGACUGUCUAUGGAGCUCGCCGAUCGGCCCGAUUUAGCACCAGCAAGGGAUAGAGGGCAGCAGGCAAAGGGAGGGUUGGGCUAUGGGUUUCAACUUUCACGAUUACAAAGAAUAGCAUGCUUGGGGACUUUUCCUGAGGUUGUGCACAUGAAAGGAGAUUAGGAACUUUUGGGCAAGAUGAUAUUGUAAUAAUUGGUAUUUCUUUUUGUUGAUUAGUAUUAAUGCUCAUGAAGUUUGGAUUGUUGCUUCUAUUGGUAUUUUAGAGAUCUUUUAACAAUUGCAUAAUUAAGGAUAUUUUUGGAUUUGUUUGA